rnacentral:rRNA from 1 species
AGGAUUAACGCUGGCGGCGUGCCUAACACAUGCAAGUCGAACGAGGUAGCAAUACCUAGUGGCAGACGGGUGAGUAACGCGUGGUCAACCUACCGUUGAGUGGGGGAUAACUAGCCGAAAGGUUAGCUAAUACCGCAUACGUCUCCGAGGGGCAUCCCUUGGCGAUAAAAGGAGCAAUCCGCUCGAUGACGGGACCGCGUCCCAUUAGCUAGAUGGUGGGGUAACGGCCUACCAUGGCACCGAUGGGUAGCUGGUUUGAGAGAGCGACCAGCCACACUGGGACUGAGAAACGGCCCAGACUCCUACGGGAGGCAGCAGUGAGGAAUUUUCCGCAAUGGGCGCAAGCCUGACGGAGCGACGCCGCGUGUGGGGAAGAAGGCCUUCGGGUCGUAAACCACUGUCGAAGGGGACGAUAAUGACGGUACCCUUGGAGGAAGCCCCGGCUAACUACGCGCCAGCAGCCGC